AUUGAACGCUGGCGGCAGGCCUAACACAUGCAAGUCGAGCGGAUGAAGGGAGCUUGCUCCUGGAUUCAGCGGCGGACGGGUGAGUAAUGCCUAGGAAUCUGCCUGGUAGUGGGGGAUAACGUCCGGAAACGGGCGCUAAUACCGCAUACGUCCAGAGGGAGAAAGUGGGGGAUCUUCGGACCUCACGCUCUCAGCUGAGCCUAGGUCGGAUUAGCUAGUUGGUGGGGUAAAGGCCUACCAAGGCGACGAUCCGUAACUGGUCUGAGAGGAUGAUCAGUCACACUGGAACUGAGACACGGUCCAGACUCCUACGGGAGGCAGCAGUGGGGAAUAUUGCACAAUGGGCGAAAGCCUGAUCCAGCCAUGCCGCGUGUGUGAAGAAGGUCUUCGGAUUGUAAAGCACUUUAAGUGGGGAGGAAGGGCAGUAAGUUAAUACCUUGCUGUUUUGACGUUACCAACAGAAUAAGCACCGGCUAACUUCGUG
rnacentral:rRNA from 1 species